GUUGCAGAAAAAGUCUUUACAUCUUUAGCGGAGAAAGGAAAACUGGCGGAUUUUGUGCUUUGCAUUGGUGAUGAUAGAUCAGAUGAAGAUAUGUUUGAAAUCAUUGGCGAUGCUUUGUCCAGAAAUAUUAUUUCAUAUGAUGCCAAGGUAUUUGCUUGCACAGUUGGACAAAAACCUAGCAAAGCAAAGUAUUACUUGGAUGACACAUCUGAGGUGGUGCUUAUGCUAGACUCCCUUGCUGAUGCCACUGAUACUCCAGUGACUUCUGAUGACGAUGAACCUGCGGACUCCGACUGAAUGUAGCUACCAGAUGGUUUGUUUGCUUCGGUUACCUUCUCUAUUGAAUGUAUAUUCCAGGUCUGAAG
rnacentral:misc_RNA from 1 species